rnacentral:rRNA from 1 species
GACGAACGCUGGCGGCGUGCUUAACACAUGCAAGUCGAGCGGUAAGGCCCUUCGGGGUACCCGAGCGGCGAACGGGUGAGUAACACGUGAGUAAUCUGCCCAUCACUUCGGGAUAACUCCGGGAAACCGGUGCUAAUACCGAAUAUGACCACUUCAGGCAUCUGAUGGUGGUGGAAAGUUCCGGCGGUGAUGGAUGAGCUCGCGGCCUAUCAGCUUGUUGGUGGGGUAGUGGCCUACCAAGGCGUCGACGGGUAGCCGGCCUGAGAGGGUGACCGGCCACACUGGGACUGAGACACGGCCCAGACUCCUACGGGAGGCAGCAGUGGGGAAUAUUGGACAAUGGGCGAAAGCCUGAUCCAGCCACGCCGCGUGAGGGAUGACGGCCUUCGGGUUGUAAACCUCUUUCAGCAGGGACGAAGCGCAAGUGACGGUACCUGCAGAAGAAGCACCGGCCAACUACGUG